UCUCCGUUGGUGAACCAGCGGAGGGAUCAUUACAGAGUUUUCACAACUCCCAAUCCCUGCGAACCGUAUCCAUUCUGUUCUCGUUGCUUUCGGCGCGGGGGACGGGGGGGACCGAAACGGUCUCACCGCCCCGCUUGUCGGGGGUGGCGGGCUUUACGCACCUUCAUAUAUCAAUCACCAUAAAUCGUUUGAGGAAAAAAACCAUAUAAUCACAACUUUUAACAACGGAUCUCUUGGCUCUG
rnacentral:misc_RNA from 1 species